CAGAGAAUAGUCUAAGUAGGAUGGUAGCUUUGGGAGUUAUUGGUGCGAGUGUAAGUUUUGCUUUUCUGA
rnacentral:tRNA from 1 species